rnacentral:rRNA from 1 species
CCUGCGGAGGGAUCAUUAAAGAGUUCUAUAACUCCCAAACCCAUGUGAACAUACCAUACGUUGCCUCGGCAGGUCGCGCCUACCCCGUAGCGUCCUACCCUAUAGGACCUACCCGGUAGACGCGGGUAAGCCUGCCGGCGGCCCAAGAAACUCUGUUUAGUAUUGAAUUCUGAACCUAUAACUAAAUAAGUUAAAACUUUCAACAACGGAUCUCUUGGUUCUGGCAUCGAUGAAGAACGCAGCGAAAUGCGAUAAGUAAUGUGAAUUGCAGAAUUCAGUGAAUCAUCGAAUCUUUGAACGCACAUUGCGCCCAUUAGUAUUCUAGUGGGCAUGCCUGUUCGAGCGUCAUUUCAACCCUUAAGCCCUCGUUGCUUAGUGUUGGGAGCCUACGGUACCCGUAGCUCCUCAAAGUUAGUGGCGGAGUCGGUUCACACUCUAGACGUAGUAAUUUUAUCUCGCCUAUCAGUUGGACCGGUCCCCUGCCGUAAAACACCCCAAUUUCUAAAGGUUGACCUCGGAUCAGGUAGGAAUACCCGCUGAACUUAAGCAUAU